rnacentral:rRNA from 1 species
GACGAACGCUGGCGGCGUGCUUAACACAUGCAAGUCGAACGGAAAGGCCCUGCUUUUGUGGGGUGCUCGAGUGGCGAACGGGUGAGUAACACGUGAGUAACCUGCCCUUGACUAUGGGAUAACUUCAGGAAACUGGGGCUAAUACCGGAUAGGAGCUCCUGCUGCAUGGUGGGGGUUGGAAAGUUUCGGCGGUUGGGGAUGGACUCGCGGCUUAUCAGCUUGUUGGUGGGGUAGUGGCUUACCAAGGCGUUGACGGGUAGCCGGCCUGAGAGGGUGACCGGCCACAUUGGGACUGAGAUACGGCCCAGACUCCUACGGGAGGCAGCAGUGGGGAAUAUUGCACAAUGGGCGGAAGCCUGAUGCAGCAACGCCGCGUGCGGGAUGACGGCCUUCGGGUUGUAAACCGCUUUCGCCUGUGACGAAGCGUGAGUGACGGUAAUGGGUAAAGAAGCACCGGCUAACUACGUG